rnacentral:lncRNA from 1 species
ACUAGCAGAAGAUCAGAAAAGAUAGCAGACGAGAAGAAAACCCUGGAACUAACACAGAAACUCAUAAAUGGCUCUAACAACCUCAACUCUAACGAGCCUCAUGACAAUGUUAAAUUUCUGCAACAAUUAGCGCAGCAAUGCUCAGCUUUGACAAAAAAGCUCGCCACAAUCAGAGAUAAAAGGGAAAAGGCUCCAAUCGAAAACCCCUCCACAUCUCCAUCUUUCAAGGCAGUGGACAGUUUCAUUUUCGAUCAGCAUAAAGAUUUGAUCCAGGAGACGAAGUUGAAUCUUGAACAGAAAAUGAAUGAACUAAUGCUGAAACUUGAAGAGAUUAAAGAGGCCCACUCAGUAAAAACGCCAGCGAAACAUUCAUACGUCAACGAUGCUGGCACAAGAUCGGAGGUUAUUGAUGUCGGAAAUGAAAAGAGGCCUGUUGGUGACCUGGACUUGAAUAUCAAGAAUGACUCAAACGAGAGUGCUACACCUUCGGCAACAAAUACAACAGAAAAUUGUCAGAAAUAUGAUAUCUUGGUUCCAGAUGACCUCUCACAAAACUGCUGUGACUCAGGCCGACAAUCGCCGCAAGCUCUCAAGGAUGAAAAUGAUAAUAAAAUCGAUGUCAAUUCCAGCAGAACUACUUUGUUUCAUAGACUGAACGUGGAAUGUCACAUGGUUAAAAAACUCCAGGAAGAAAAUACAGAACUCAAGGCACAGGCGCUACUCCAAAAUCAAAAAAUCAUAGACUUGACUCUCCAAACACGGGAACUAGAAUCCAGAUUAAGCAUGGCAAAUACCGUAAGAGUGGUUACAGUCAGCUCAGACGCGGCUCCUCAUGUUCCUGUCCAAACCUCAGCAGUUAGCCCUACUCACCAGUCGUUGCAACCGCUGCUCCGUUUGCACUCACAAGACCCAGACGCCAGUGGUUCAACCGGCAUGUCGGCUCCGGUGAAGAAUCUAUGUUCUCCUCCACUGCAGCUACUGCUAACUCAGCAAGAUCUCGUCUCAGGGAACUCAGGAGGAAGUUGCCCCGCAGAAUUGUCGCUCCAAUUGUAGUCAGUCAAUCAUCUUCAACUGAGACCUCCAGCGGUCAGGACACCAUGGAAGAAACUAGAAAACGCCUGAAAAGAUUGGAAAAGAAAAUUCUGCCGUGAAUCGUUUGUAUCAAGAUUAUCAGUCUAAGAAAGAACAGCACUUACACUCUGUUUAUCAGCCUGCGGAAACAGUUUGACCAGUUUCCAGCCGGUAUACUGCUCAGAAUCUCAAAGAAAUUGCUCAUCUCUCAUCACGAGCACUUUCUCUCCUUACACUUCAUUUCGGCCCAUUUGUUCUACGUUGAGACCCAUGAUCACGUCAGUUACGCCGCAGCCUUUAUUCUGUAAUCAAAACACAACUGUCAUCAAUACACAAAAAUCUGUUUGUAGUGAUUUUCUGAACGAGCCAAGUCAAAAAUGUGCCAUUUUGGAUAAAAUUACUAAACAUGAACGUUCAGAUGUGUGUAAUUAUCUUGAGGGGCCUCAACAGUGUUCAAAUCGCAAAUUUCGUCAUUAUUACCGUGAUUGGUUGGAAUGCCAUUUUCGCAAGUCUUGUCCAAGCCCAUCUGAAACAGAGACAUCCCACUCCAGGGUAUCACCGUUGAAACAGAUUUUUCAGCUGAAGCAAUACAAGUAUAAAAAAAGUACAAAGAAUAGAGCUGACCAUGAAACUGAGAAGGUAGACGAACACAACCCUAAUGCUUUGGAGGUUCUACAUUGGCAGGAGCCAACGAUAAAACUCCUCAAGUAAUCAUCAUUGAGAAUAAAGAUGAUUCCAAUCAUGCUCCUCUGCCAAAUCUCAACAAAAACGACUCGUUAAUUUCUUCGUCUGAUCUUGAUGACUCUUUGAAUUUCGAGAGGUUGAUCCUUCAAAAUCAACAAAAUGUUGCUGCUUUGAGACAAAAGUUUGAACAAUUUUGUAAUUUUAACAGCAGUACCAAUUCUUCAGAUAGAGUUGCUGAUAGCGAUAAGCAGAAAAAAGGAAGAAAUAUUCGAAAACCCCCAGCCAACAAGAACGCCCAUUCGGUGAACGUUAAAGUCAAUGUUAACACUGCUGAAAGCAAUAAAACUGUUGGAUCACCUGUUGAACCAGCGUCAAAAAACCAGGAAGUUUCUCAAUCAUUGGACGUCAACACCAGUGCAGUUCCUGCAAAGCCAUCCACUCCGCCGCCUGUUGAAAUCACUUGUUCGGAUGGAAAAAAACUAGUAUCUUCCUCCGAACUUGAAGCAUCAUCCAAGAAAGUUGAGGAAAUAAAUGUUAUUCCAGAGACUUUCAACUCUAAGUUGUGUCUGAGGAGUCCUGAAUCUUUAGCAGAUAAAAAAAUCAAAGAUAACUACAAAAGGCUCAGCUUGUAUCAUAGAUUGAACGACUAUUAUGAAGAAAUUAUCAAUGAAAUGAAUGUGAGUGAGGAAGAGAAGCAAAAUCUAUCGGAUAUUGAUCAUCUCUUACAGCCGGUCGAAGCAGAUCCUGAAAAUUUCCUCGUGAAUGAUGAAG